UCUUCAAAGCCAGUGCUGUUGGUUGCUGCCACAAGCAGCAUUACCUCAAAGUUGAGAUAUUCUGGUAGACUUUGAUGGUGCCAUUGCCAGAUGAUCAUCAACGACUCAAUAUAUUACACCAGUUGCUGUCAUCACAUCACCACAGACUUAUAAGUAUCCCUCGCCAGCACCCGCCAGAUGUUACAUGGAGCAAGAAAUUCAGCCACUCGCUAAUUAAAAUUGAAGAAGGACAGUUCACAGUGAGUCUUAGUCAGACUCAUUCACUAUGGAGGCAACAAUCAUCCACAAACUCCUCAACUGAAGGACCUUGAUAGCUACUUGGAAUGCCCAAGGGAUAGAUGGGAGCUACUGAGGUCUUUCUCAACAUUAUUUGACUUAUCCCUCAAGCUUAACACCCCACUACCUGCAUCUGCUGCUUGUGAGCAUCUGUUUACUCAUGUUGGGCUAUUUAUUUAUUAUUUAAUUAAUUUAUUACACCCCAGGGAGAAACAAGCCUAGUCACAUGACCAUGCAGUCAGACACUAAUACAUUGGUACUCGUGUCUCACAGGACACGCUAGGACUUGUGAUAUGGAGACAAUAUUGAUAUGAUUUAAGGACAAUGGGAGUUAGCACCCACCAAAGUGUGGGUAGCAUACAAGAAUAUCAGGAGGUCCCUGACAGUGGGACAGUCAGGCAAUAGUGUUGAAGGGUGUUAGUGUUGGGACAAUUACAGAGUUCACAGGAAGAGAAGUACAGGUCAUCCUCCACCUCAGAUACUUGCCAGAUAGGUCUGUAUCCUAACCUAAUGUGAGCAGAGAUAACAUUGUGUCUGUGGACCAUAAAUCCACGUCGACGAUACUUGUGUGGAUAAGGAAGAAAGUGAUCAUAAUGUUGGGUGGAUAUAUUUUUAGCACAUUCACUAUUCCCGCAAUGGAUUGUUGGAAGAAGAGCGGCUGAAUGUAUUCUCUUUCGGUAGGUCAUGCUGGGCUUAUAUUUAGGGCUAAAAAAGUUCUGAUUGGACAGCCAUAAUUUUGAGAAUCAGUUAUUGAUUAAUCUUAAUGGAAAGAUUUGAAAAUAAACAUGUGCAAUACCAUGUGUCUUUUAUAUUUAUCUUACUUAACUAUUUAUUUUAAAUUACGUACUGUGGAUUUAUUUUAAUAUUUGAGUCAAAUAAUAUUUUUUUAUUGCUUUUUACUUUCAAUGCUUGAGUAUUUUAAGAAUGAGAUUCUUUUUUGUUUCUACUUGAGUCCAUUGACAUUUGGAUACUUUCACUUCUACUUGAGUAACAUUUUGUCAAUGUAGCAAUACUUUUACUUGAGUAACAAAGUCCAGUACUUUUUGCAACUCUGAUUAUACAUGUGGCACAGUUUAGCUGGGCAGUCACCAAGCUGACUCAAAAGACAUGUGUGGCUGCUGCUUGUAUGCUGUGACAUCACGUAGGGUGUGUAUAUGUGGGAAGUAAUGUGUGUGGAGGCGGUCGGUUACUGGGCUAUAACUGCAUGACCAAGUCCCCUCCCAAUGUGACUUCAUGUCUUACACACAGCCAGUGCAGCAGCCACUGUCUGUGAGUCAACUGGGUGACUGCCUGAACUGAGUCAUAAUUCCCAGAGGAUGGUUUGAGUGAGGAAGGGACUAAUUUUUUUUCAUAAAAUAUGUGCUUUUGUGUUCUAUGAUAUGCUUUGUAUAAAUUUUAUUAUUUAUCAUAGCAAUAAAUAUGGCAGCUCAUCCCCAUUUUGCGUGGUAAUCAAAAUUACGUUUCCAGCUGAUUUGGGUGGAAAUUUAAUUUUUAUGAUUAUUUCAUUUUGGUGCUGGUUAGUUGACUCUGGCAUUCUACUGUAAAUUGAAUUAAUUUAUUCUUUUGAGUUUUCUUUUUGAUCCAAAUAAUAUUGUUUCAGUCUUUCCAAGAUGUAGGGAUAAUUUGUUGUCUCUGAGCCAUUGUUUGCAGACUCCAAUUCAGAUGAUAACUCUUUAGCUACAGUAUAUCAUUUGGAUCUUAACCUGAUACUAAAGGACACUGUCAUCAGCACAAUACAAAAGUUUACAGUUAACACUAAUGGACAUGUUAUUUACAUAACACAGGGAGAUCAAUGGUCCUAGGAUACUCCCUUGUGGAAUUCCAUAGGCUAUUGUCAUGGUUGUUGACUCGGUAUUAUUUGCAGUUGCAGUUUGUUUCCUGUUAAGAUAAAAUUUAAUCCAGUGAAUCAAUUUAGAGGUUAAGGAUUAACUUAGUGGUACAGUAUUACGAAGCUUGAUAUAGAAUAUGCUUGAGGACCCAACUGGUACCUGACCAUCGACCCGUGUUUCGCUGCUGCACGACCACUGCUCCACCCCUGUAACUCGAUCUCCCAACUCGAUGUUCCGGACCUCGAGUUAUGGAUCGUGGAUACAUUGGAUGGCCCAUAGCUUGGGCUCAUGGUUAGGCUCUCCGGAGCUCCGUAUCUGUGUUGUUCAGAUCUCGAACGGAGUUGUAAUGAAGCGGUGCACGAGGGAGGAGGGCAGAGCAUUACGGGGCGGACGAGGGUGUGGAGCUAGUGGUCGGUGGUCGGCGGAGCCGGUUGUUGUUGAGAGCAAAUUGUGUUACUCUGGCUUAGAAUGUAAUGUAAGUUCAUAAUAUUUAUGUACAUUUCUAUGAAGUAGGAUUAGGGUGAUUGUUAUGGUAUUGUUUUUUAUUCAUGUAACUGUUGUAUGAGUGUGGCGAUUGUUAUUGUUUGAUUAUUGCUGGUUGUUGGUGUUUCUUGUCAAUAUAUUGUACAUUCCAA
rnacentral:lncRNA from 1 species